AUGACUGAAACAUAUGAUAACAAUCAGUUUAAUAAUAAUAAUUCGGUUUUAAGAGGUAGUACAAUUAUGAGCGAAGAAGCGGUUAUAUUAAAAAAACAAAUAAACAAAUUAUUAAUUGAGAGAGAAUUAUUAGGAAAAAAGUUAAAUGAAUAUAUAGAAACAAAUUCAACACUAGUACAAGAAGUAAAAGAAAAAAGUAAACUAAUAAUGGAACAAAAUGAAAACUAUACUAAGUUGUUAGAUAAAUAUAAUACACUUGAAAAGGACUUUGAAAAUAUACAUAACUUAUGUAUACAAUUAGAAGAAAAAUUUAAAGAAGGUUUUAGUAAUAGCUAUUUAAAUAGUAAAAGUAUUAACUUAUUAUCUAAAAGUAAUUUCUCUUUAAGCGAGUUACAAUUAGAUAGUAAUAAUAAUAAUGAAAAGAAUGAUAAUGAUGGGAGUAUAUUAUCUAACAGUAUUCAUAGUAUUGGUCAUUAUAAAAUAUAUUGUUCAGAAUUGAAAUUAGAAAACGACUCUUUAAAAAAUACAAUACAAAAAUUAAAAAUAAAAAAUAAAACCUUGUCUGAAAGUAUGGAAUUUUUACUGAAGGAUUUGAUGGAGGCAUCUGCAGAAGCGGAGGCGGAAGAGGAAGAAGGAGAAGGAGAAGGAGAAAGAGAAGAAGAAAGAGAUGGAAAAGAGUCAGAAGAUGGACCAGAAGAAGGACCACAAGCAAAACCACAAGCAAAACCACAAGAAAAAUCACAAGCAAAACCACAAGAAAAACCACAAGAAAAACCACAAGAAAAACCACAAGAAAAACCACAACCCAAACCACAAGCAGAAAACAAUCAUACGAACGAGCCAAAAGAAGCGAAAGAAAUGAUUAAUAACAAUAAUAUUUUUAAAAAAUUAAAUUCUAAAUGUAUAUCGAAGUUAUAUACGAGGUUGAUGACCGAUAGGUGGAAACAGGAGGAUAAUAACCAGGAUAACAAAAAUGAGACAGUAAAUAAAGUAAAAAAUGGAUCAGAACACAUUUAUAAUGAUUUUAAAAAAACGUCUAUUGUUAACAAUCAUGUGUAUGUACAAACA
rnacentral:lncRNA from 1 species